GUGGAUUAGAUACCCUAGUAGUCCACGCCCUAAACGAUGCGAACUAGGUGUUGGGGAAGGAGACUUUCUUAGUACCGCAGCUAACGCGUGAAGUUCGCCGCCUGGGGAGUACGGUCGCAAGAUUAAAACUCAAAGGAAUUGACGGGGACCCGCACAAGCGGUGGAUGAUGUGGAUUAAUUCGAUGCAACGCGAAAAACCUUACCUACCCUUGACAUGUCAGGAAUCCUGAAGAGAUUUGGGAGUGCUCGAAAGAGAGCCUGAACACAGGUGCUGCACGGCUGUCGUCAACU
rnacentral:rRNA from 1 species